rnacentral:RNase_P_RNA from 1 species
CCGGGGAGCCGGGCAGCCGCGUCAUGGUCUACCCAUGCCGAGGAAAGUCCGGGCUCCGCGAAACGAAGGUGGCGGGUAACGCCCGCCGGACGAGUGGGGCUUCCAGGCCUCGCGAAGUUCAGGGAAAGUGCCACAGAGAGCAGACCGCCGAUGGUGCCUUCGGGUUCACAGGCAAGGCUGAAAGGGUGCGGUAAGAGCGCACCGCGCUUCCGGUAACGGACAGCGGCAAGGCAAACCCCACCUGGAGCAAGACCGAAUAGGGGCUGCGCGCCAUCUUGAAUGGCGGGUCUGUUUCGGACCCAGGCAGCCCGGGUUGGUUGCUUGAGCGCCAUGGCAACAUGUCGCCAAGAGGAAUGGCUGCCACCUGGCGUAAGGUCCCCCGUUCAAGGCAACUUGGGGGAGACCACGCCCGGUACAGAACCCGGCUUACAGGCUCCCCGGCAUU